rnacentral:tRNA from 1 species
GGUCCCGUAGCUCAGUUGGUUAGAGCAUCUCCCUUUUAAGGAGAGGGUCCUGCGUUCGAGUCGCAGCGGGAUCACCA